GAGGGAUGUUGGCGUGCUAUUACAUGCAAGUCGAACGAACUCUGGUAUUGAUUGGUGCUUGCAUCAUGAUUUACAUUUGAGUGAGUGGCGAACUGAAUGAGUAACACGUGGGAAACCUGCCCAGAAGCGGGGGAUAACACCUGGAAACAGAUGCUAAUACCGCAUAACAACUUGGACCGCAUGGUCCGAGCUUGAAAGAUGGCUUCGGCUAUCACUUUUGGAUGGUCCCGCGGCGUAUUAGCUAGAUGGUGGGGUAACGGCUCACCAUGGCAAUGAUACGUAGCCGACCUGAGAGGGUAAUCGGCCACAUUGGGACUUGAGAGACACSGSCCAAACUCCUACGGGAGGCAGCAGUAGGGAAUUCUUCMMCAAUGGACGAAAGUCUGAUGGAGCAACGCCGCGUGAGUGAAGAAGGGUUUCGGCUCGUAAAACUCUGUUGUUAAAGAAGAACAUAUCUGAGAGUAACUGUUCAGGUAUUGACGGUAUUUAACCAGAAAGCCACGGCUAACUACGUGCCAGCAGCCGCGGUAAUACGUAGGUGGCAAGCGUUGUCCGGAUUUAUUGGGCGUAAAGCGAGCGCAGGCGGUUUUUUAAGUCUGAUGUGAAAGCCUUUCGGCUCAACCGAAGAAGUGCAUCGGAAACUGGGAAACUUGAGUGCAGAAGAGGACAGUGGAACUCCAUGUGUAGCGGUGAAAUGCGUAGAUAUAUGGAAGAACACCAGUGGCGAAGGCGGCUGUCUGGUCUGUAACUGACGCUGAGGCUCGAAAGUAUGGGUAGCAAACAGGAUUAGAUACCCUGGUAGUCCAUACCGUAAACGAUGAAUGCUAAGUGUUGGAGGGUUUCCGCCCUUCAGUGCUGCAGCUAACGCAUUAAGCAUUCCGCCUGGGGAGUACGGCCGCAAGGCUGAAACUCAAAGGAAUUGACGGGGGCCCGCACAAGCGGUGGAGCAUGUGGGUUUAAUUCGAAGCUACGCGAAGAACCUUACCAGGUCUUGACAUACUAUGCAAAUCUAAGAGAUUAGACGUUCCCUUCGGGGACAUGGAUACAGGUGGUGCAUGRUUGUCGUCAGCUCGUGUCGUGAGAUGUUGGGUUAAGUCCCGCAMSGAGCGCAACCCUUAUUAUCAGUUGCCAGCAUUAAGUUGGGCACUCUGGUGAGACUGCCGGUGACAAACCGGAGGAAGGUGGGGAUGACGUCAAAUCAUCAUGCCCCUUAUGACCUGGGCUACACACGUGCUACAAUGGAUGGUACAACGAGUUGCGAACUCGCGAGAGUAAGCUAAUCUCUUAAAGCCAUUCUCAGUUCGGAUUGUAGGCUGCAACUCGCCUACAUGAAGUCGGAAUCGCUAGUAAUCGCGGAUCAGCAUGCCGCGGUGAAUACGUUCCCGGGCCUUGUACACACCGCCCGUCACACCAUGAGAGUUUGUAACACCCAAAGUCGGUGGGGUAACCUUUUAGGAACCAGCCGCCUAAAGGUGGACCAAAAAUGA
rnacentral:rRNA from 1 species